rnacentral:rRNA from 1 species
UGUGUAGGCGGCUGAUUAAGUAGGGUGUGAAAGGCUCCGGCCUAACCGGAGCAUUGCGCUCUAAACUGAUCGGCUUGAGUGAGAUAGGGGUGUGCGGAACUUCCAGUGGAGCGGUGAAAUGUGUUGAUAUUGGAAGGAACGCCGGUGGCGAAAGCGGCACACUGGGUCUUAACUGACGCUGAGACACGAAAGGCCAGGGAGGCGAACG